UUUAAAGAUACCACUGGAGUGCUUUGGUACUGAAGGUAGACUGCAACCGUCUCCCAUUCCUGGCUGAUGAGAGGAGCCUUGCAGAGAAGCUGAGACAAAGGACUGAAACUGCUGCUCACGGACUCUGCUUGCAUCCCUCUCUAGAUGCUCCUCGUUUCGUAGAUAUCAGUCAAAGUUGUAAAGUGCUCUACAGAGGGGUGGUGGCAGCGGCAGAUGCUUGAUGACCUGUACAGAGCUGGCUGGGAAAACACCGCUGAUGCCAUUGAUCUCGCCCAAAUACCAGUUUUCAUCCAGCUGCCGGAGUAACAUGAUGAUGUCUCCUUUAUUGAACCUCAGUUCCCCGGGAUUGUGCCCGCGGUAGCUGUACAGGGCCUUGGCUCGUGGAACCUGUGGGACGAGAAGGAAUCCUAAGAAUUCAUCUGUGACAGUGAUCGUUGAUGAAGAGAGACUUUCUUAAUGUUGCUGCUGUUGCAGUACAGUGUGAGCGGAAAGAAGAGAUAUACCACAUCCAAAAGAGAUGAAAGAAUUUUACCAUCUUGAAUUUCAUCAAAAUGAAACUACAACUUAAAAUAACCACUUUACUGACCUUUAUUAAUACUGGAAAACUCCCAUGUAAUACACAGUACAACAGAUCAUUUAGAUGGCUGAAUGAAAACUAGAGCCAUCCCUGGACUCAUUACUGCAAUCCCAAGAGGUACAGUGUGAGAAAAGUCUGGCACAUAUUUUGCCUAGAAUAUGAGUGCAGAUAUGCUGAUGAUUUGUGCUCUUUAUGUAGCUGUUCUAGAUAUGCAUUUUAUGGGGCUGCGCACACAGUAAAUCUGGAAAACUGAGAAGCUUUUAUCUGUAGGUGCCUGUGCUAAAGACUGAUGGAGAUACCACGAGUGAGCGAGCAGAUUUAUGGGACGUGAGUGUGUUCCACAAAACUCCAUCCUAAAAUAAAUAAGCAGUUGGUUUGUUAUUGUCAUUUGCAACACCACAAUUAUGUGAAAUGCAAAACACUGGGAAAAGAUGUUCAUCAGGGAAAAGAGUUGUGUUCUGUCCUUCUGCUGGCCCUUUAGAUGGGUAAAAACGAACGGAUUCAUUCACUGUUGUCAGUGAUAUAAGGCUUUUAACCAUCUUUUGCUCCCGUCUCUGAAGAGCUUGAUCUUUUUUGGUGGAGGGAAGUGAAAUGCAGGGUGUCCCGGGGACAUGUCGCCCCCUGAAUCGCCCAGCGCUGGCUCCCCUCUGCCAGGUUGAGUGGGCAGGAGGGAGAAAUCUGACUUCUGGUCUCGAUGUGUGGAAAAGAUCAUGGGAAUGAUCGUGCAGUGCUCGCCAACGCUCAUCCUUGGUCGGAGAAGGAACCGAGAGGAGAAGCGCUCCAAGCAUGACAUUUGCUUCAAAGCAUUUGAAACAGGAACCAACUAAUUUAAUGCUUCAUUCUAAUUAAGCCAUCCUGUUAGUUUGUGCUAGUAGUAAACACACAUGCAUAUCUAUUACUACCUGGGGAAAGAUGAGCAAGCAAUGGGAUGCUGAGGAAAGUAGAAUAUUCUUUCUUUCCUUCGGAUAAAAGAAAAUGGUGAUCAAGUACUUCAUGAAUUAAUUUUAAUGGAAUGGGAGUGCAAGCCAGGAUAAAUAGCUGAAGACUGUUUAGACAGGAUAGGUGCAUGCGUGACGUUAGGACUUCAUGGGAUUUACCCCACUAGCUUAAAGAACUAGUCGGGUAGCCUCUGCAGAGUGGCCGAUCACCCCUGAGAGCUCCUGGAAGACACGGGAGGUCUCGGAAGCUUGGAAGGAUGUUUCACCAUGCUGCUGUGACCCUCACCUCGGUGCCGAGAGAUGCCCACGCAGAGCUGACGCAGUCUCUUGCGACCUGCCCCAUGGCAAGUCCUGCGCCCCGGCCCCAGCCCCGUGCGAGCCUGGGCCCAAGGACUCUGCUGCCCAAGAACAACCCUCCCGUCAGUCUCAGGUGGGAGAGACACAUUCCCUAGUAUCUAUCUUCCAUUGAGGAAUUGGAGAAAAUGUGGUUUUUUUUUCAGCAAGUUACCCCGCAGAAACCACGGGGUGAUGCUGUCCUUGCUUGAGACACGAAGCAUCCCGUGCUCCAGGCAGGAGCCCCGCAGCAGGCUGCUGUCCGCUGUGACAGGUUUGGAGCUAUGUCCUGUAAUUCCUACCAAGUCUGCCACAUUUGUGGCUGCUACAGGAAAAAAAAGAAAUCAUUACACAGCUCAGCUGCACAAGGACAGGAGAUGCACCUUCUGAUGGGACGUGAGCGGGCUGCUAAACUACUUCAGGCUUGUUUUUUCUUCUCUGCAAAGCUAGUAAGAAAUUCUGGAUACAUCAGUUGUCUGGGCCCCAGAGCAAAUCCUCUUAAAGUGAUCUGAUUUAUUCUCCACUUAGAGCCCUAAAUUGUUUCUCCAUCCUGGCAUCAAAACAAAAUGGAGGUUCUCCAAAUCAAGUGCAAAGUGCCUUUGCCAGUGGAGUCCUGAUGCUAAAUGGAGUUUGACUACACCAAAAAUAAUAACAAAGCAAUAUCCAACAUUUAAAAACAAGUGCUUUGGUUUUACUUGUGAGAAGAACACAGAAGGAAAGAGCAAGAGAAGAGUUUAAAUUGAAGC